UUAUUUUAGUUUGUGAAAAACAAGAUUUAAAAAAAAAACGAACUGAUGAUAUAUUGAGUAGGAAUCUCAUUGAGCUUCAGUCAUUCGUUGCUUUGAAAUCAAUUUUAAUCUCCCACUGAUUAUAACCUUGAAAAAAAAAAACAAUCAAUUUUCCAAUCUUGAACUAAUUUGGUAAUUUUUGUUUUUUUAGAUCUUUCAAAGUAACUACCUGGAACUUAGUUAACUACUUGCAAGCUUUUUCAAGAAGAAGAACGGCCUGGUUAACUGUUUUCAAAGAUUUGGCCCGCGAUAUGGAUAUUAUUUUAAAUUAUGUUCCAAUUAUUUUAAAAAUAAAACGACUAUAUAAAAAACAUUAAGU